UCUGGUCUGGUGAGGUAACUCUGCUCUGAGCUAGGAAACCUGCCUCAUGGCUUCACUGCACCUGGCAUGCAAAAAGCCCUUUGGUUCUGAGUCAACUGCUCCGGAAUGUCACUUGGGCUGUGAGAGAAAGGAGGGUCUGAGCUUCAUUUGCACGAAAAAAGAGGUUAUGCACCUAAGUCCACCUGUCUCCUAGGCCUAAUAACAGCUCAUCCGCAUAUUGGAGUAAGACCUUAGAAGACUUGCAACAGAGAAUUAUGAGGGACAAUCAAAACACAGAACAAGAUACAGGGGACCAAGAACCAGGUGCUGAAGAGCCAAGGUAGCAGUGCAAUGCCUCACUAGAGCCUUGGACAGGACUUCAUGUGCCUUGUCAGACUCCUCACUAUCCCCAGAAGUGAUUCCUCUGGAACUAGUACCAGAUGUCAUAGAAGGAGAUGCUCUGCUAUGACUAUCAUUGGAGGCCUCCCCAGACAGGUGCUUGCUGGUUUAUUUUUGUUUCAGCUGUUCACCACAGUAGUAUACAAAACUGAAAGCCCAACCUGAAGCCUUUAAAUUUCCUCAAGGUGAGUCCCCCUGGGAAGCAGUCCCUGAGGUUGGGUUGAGAUUUAAUCUCACUGGGGCUUCCAAAUGUUAAUUCCACAAAUUGGGAAUAAAGACAACUGACCCAAA